GGAGGUGUGGCCGAGCGGUUUAAGGCACUGGUCUUGAAAACCAGCGAUGGCGUGAGUCAUCCGUGAGUUCGAAUCUCACCGCCUCCGCCA
rnacentral:tRNA from 1 species